CCUCCAGCCAGUUCUUGUCCACCUCCUUGUGGAUGUAGACAAUGUCACCCUUCUGCAGAGUCAGCUCCCUGCAGGCGAGGACCGCAUGGUGUGGCCCGACCCUCUCCUGCGGGCCAUUUUGCUAAAUCCUGCACAUGUGUUUGGUCUGGCCCCAUGACUGUGGCUAUGUGCAUCUGUUCAGCUUUGAAGAAGCUGGUCUUUCUGGGUGCUGUGGCUGAGUGAUCGUACACCCACCGGCAAGGAAAGCCAGAGGCAGCCCUGCCCUGCAGCUCUGGGCAAGUUAUUUCUGCUCGCUGGGCCUAGUUCCAUGAGGGUGCUGGAUUCAGUGACUCCAUCUGUGAGACUACCCCAGCCACUGCAGUACAGCAUGGUCACAUCUGCCUUAGCUCCCCUCCAGGGCCCCAUUCCUGGCUGGCUUACAUGGAACGUUCCAGUCUCUGUUUGAAAGUUUCCACCGAGAGGAACCGCUGCAUCCGGCUUAUCAAAUAAUGCAAUGUCUGACCAAGGGUUGGGAUUUGUUGGCUGUAAUUAUGACUCCAUUCUGAUUUUGGUAAUAAUAAAAGUGACAGUGAGAA